AAUGAACGCUGGCGGCGCGCCUAAUACAUGCAAGUCGAGCGAGAAGACGUAGCAAUACGUUUGUAAAGCGGCGAACGGGUGAGGAAUACAUGGGUAACCUACCCUCGAGUGGGGAAUAACUAGCCGAAAGGUUAGCUAAUACCGCGUACGCUCCUUGGACUUCGGUUCAGGGAGGAAAGCGAUACCGUGGGUAUCGCGCUCUUGGUUGGGCUCAUGUCCUAUCAGCUUGUUGGGAGGUAACGGCUCACCAA
rnacentral:rRNA from 1 species